rnacentral:rRNA from 1 species
UGGGGAAUAUUGCACAAUGGGGGAAACCCUGAUGCAGCGACGCCGCGUGAACGAAGAAGGUAUUCGUAUCGUAAAGUUCUGUCCUAUGGGAAGAUAAUGACAGUACCAUAGAAGAAAGCUCCGGCUAAAUACGUGCCAGCAGCCGCGGUAAUACGUAUGGAGCGAGCGUUGUCCGGAAUUAUUGGGCGUAAAGGGUACGCAGGCGGUUUAAUAAGUCGAAUGUUAAAGAUCGGGGCUCAACCCCGUAAAGCAUUGGAAACUGAUAAACUUGAGUAGUGGAGAGGAAAGUGGAAUUCCUAGUGUAGUGGUGAAAUUCGUAGAUAUUAGGAGGAAUACCAGUAGCGAAGGCGACUUUCUGGACACAAACUGACGCUGAGGUACGAAAGCGUGGGGAGCAAACAGG